rnacentral:lncRNA from 1 species
CUCACCUACAGAUACCAGUAUUGGACCCGCACCUCAAGACUGCCUCUACCUGGAACGACAGAAGGGUGGUUGUCAUAGGUGACUCCCUGCUGAGAGGAAUGGAAGGCCCUGUAUGUCAGCCUGACCCUACCCUACUCAGCAAGGACCUGCUGGGCAUGCUGAGGGUGAAGAAAGGUGCAUACAGGCUCUGGAAACAAGGGUGUGUCACCUGAGAAGACUACAGGGAUGCCAUCCAGACUUGCAGAUGUGGGAUGAGGAAAGACAAUGUGCAGGGUGAACUGAACUUGGCAAGGGACAUGAAAAACAAAAAGACGACUUUCUACAGGUACACUGGCCAGAAGAGACAGGCCAAAGCGAAUGUACCUCCUUUGGUAAAUGUAAGAGGAGAACUGGCUUCAACAGACAAAGAGAAGGCUGAGGUAGUGAAUGAGUUAUUUGCCUCAGUCUUCACUGGCGGCCAGGAUUCCAGUACUUCUCACAUCCCUGAGCCCUGCAUCCCUACACCUCUGGGUGGGGACUGGGGUGUUAAAUCCUCCUCCCUCCCCGGCUGUGAGGACAGAGCAUGUCCAAGACUGCCUGAUGAGACUGAAUGUGUACAAGUCUAUGGGCCGGAUGGCAUGCAUCCCAAGGUUCUGAAGGAGCUGGCUGAGGUGGUUGCCAAGCCAUUCUCCAUCAUAUUUGAAAAGUCGUGGCUGUCAGGUGAGGUCCCGGAUGACUGGAGGAAGGGUCAUGUCACUCCCAUUUACAAGAAAGGGAGCAAGGAGGACCCCGGGAACUACAGGCCGGUGAGUCUCACCUCUGUGCCUGGGAAGAUCAUGGAACAGAUCAUCCUGGAUGACAUGCUUGAUCACAUGAGGAAAGGGCGUGUGAUCCGUGACAGCAAGCACGGCUUCACCAAAGGAAGGUCAUGCUUAACCAAUCUGCUGGCCUUCUACGAUGGAGUAACAGCAUUGAUGGACAAGGGGAAGGCAACCCAUGUCAUUUACCUGGACUUGAGCAAGGCUUUUGACGUGAUCCCCCACCACAUCCUUCUCUCCAAAGUGGAGGGACCAGUGCUCUUUAACAUCUUUAUCAAUGACAUUGAUGACAGAAUCAAGUGCACCCUCAGCAAGUUUACUGACAACACCAGGCUGAGUGGUGCAGUUGACACAGUAGAAGGAAG